GGGAGUGCGUGUUCCAUUUCCGUAAGUGAUGGAUCCCGACUUCUACGACGAUAUCAAGAAAUUCAUCUUGUCGGGCAAGUUCCCUGAAAAUGUGGACAGCAAGAGGAAGAAGAGAUCCUUUCAUAGGAUGACUAAAACCUUCUGCUUGGAGGGAGAGGAUCUGUACUACAAAAAGAAAAUAAAGAAAGGAAAAAGUCAGUCUGUACUUCAUGUAAAGGUCCUGCGCAAGGGGGAGACUGACGAAGUGUUCCAUCAGUUCCAUGCAAGUGCCAUGGGUGGCCACAGAGGAAUAAGCAAAACAAUGGCUGCCAUCGCGUGUCGGUUUUACUGGCCAAAACAGUUAACCGACAUAAAGACACGGAUAAAGAACUGUGGACCAUGCCAACAUCCAUAACACCGGCAGCAUCCAAAAGAAGUUUAACGACACCCGAUGGAGAGGCAGAGGUGUCGGUGAGGAAGAGUACCAGGUUACAUACUAGUAUUCCCGGGUAGCCGGGAUUCUCGGUCGCCUCAUCGGAAAGUCCAAAAGUCUUUAAUGGUACACUUUGAAGCCUGGUACCGUCCGGUUUUAAUAUUCAGUGGUAGUAUUCCUGUUCGUAAACUGCCCACAAAGAGAUCUUUGGCUUUUAUAAAGGUUCAUUGUGACAUAAUAUUCUGUACAAUAGGCAUCUGUAAGUGCUAAGUUUGGGCGUUAGCCAUAUGGCAGAAGUCCAAUCUUCUUUGUACAUAUCAAAUAGUUUCUCUUUCAGUUGUUUUCAUGUGUGUUUAAAAGUGACAAGUUAGAAAAACAUGGGAAGUCUUGAUUACUUCCACCUGAAGAGACCGAAAUUUCGGCUUCAAUUGGAAUGAUUAUCCCCACCUCCAAAAAAAUAUAUUUUACAAGUGUACCCGCCUUCAUACAAUUACACCUUUAGCAUAUAACACGUUGAUUAGUCUGGAACGAAUUCAAAAGAAAGAAAAAAUUAUGGUUUAAUUUAACUCUUGUCAUGCUUGUAUUCAUUCACCCUCCCUGUGCUUGGCUUUUUUCACACUAUUGAAAGAAUGGGCACUCCGUUUACAUUGCCCUUGAAUAGCUACUUCUCUCCAACGUAACCCAACUUAACCGUUAACGGAUAGAAAAUAUGGAAGUAUACUUAAUACGUUAAAAUAUAGAGAAAUAUGAUUUAGCUGUAGGUAACAGGAAGCGAGUACAAGACAUUAUAGUCGAUGGUUAGUUCCUGGAACAGGCCAGACCUGUGGCCUGACUGAUAAUAGGUAACUUAUCUAGGUCAAGUCCCAGUAGGGGAGGGCAUUCCCAGUGUUGGGAUGUGACGUAGGACAAGAUAGACAAUGCCCAUAUUUGGUACAGAGGAGCCCUUGGUUCCUUGUAUGGACAUUGUCUUAUGACCAGAUACUUUGGAAUGUUGUGACUAAUAUUGUGUAGGAAGACUUCCUGUCUUCUUUGGUCAGGAGUUACUAUGUCGGGACCAAAGAUGUAGUCCAUCCGUGCAAGGAGGUCAGUCCGUGUGACCGGUGGCACUUGUCUGAAGUAAGUCUGUUCUGUAGUUAACACAACGCAAUGUCCUAACGUAAUAAUGUCCAAAUGUAAUAACGUCCUGAAGUAUUAAUGUCCUGGUAACUUGUCAUUAGUUUGGUAUUAUCGGUGUUAUAUAGUCAAUGAUAGCUCUGUUUGUGUUGGCAUUGUCUAUGUGAAUAAACUGUAUACAAGAACAAAG